rnacentral:lncRNA from 1 species
CUUUCUCGGCGCAAGCGCCGUCUCCAACAGGAGGCUGCUCUCGCAGAAAAGUAAAGUUUUUUCGAGGUUUGUUUGCUCCAAGUGAGCAAAAUCAAACGAUUCCCCGGGAGAAUUAGUGCGUGCGGCGCGGGGUGCUUUUCCUCUCAGAAAGCCUGUCGAUUUAUGCAGUACUCGGCACAGCAUCGGGCGUCUCUAAGAAGCGCGACGCGGGUGAAACGGGGGCCGCCGAGUUUGGGCUCAAAAGAGAAGCAUGAAGAGAGGAGAAUUCGUGUUCUCUUCAUUCAGACUCGCUUCAUUAACCAUGAGAUCUUAAGCUGUUUGGUAUUGAAGGAAAACCGCGUCUUCUAACCGCAAUGUAAAACGGGCUCCCUUGUACACAACGGCCCCACCGCCGAGUGUCGUCCGGGUGCUAGCCAGAAAACUUCGCAGUGCAUCAUGUGAGAGGAUACCGACUGGGUUUUUCUCUCCCAUUACGGCUUCCACCGGUUUUGGAAUCGCUUUCUGUUCUCUGGGCUACCGCUGUAGUGUUUCCCGAUACCGGGUCCCCGUGUCUUCAGGGGGUGCAAGGCUAGAGUCCUGCCCAGCCUUGAUGGGUACAUUUUCUGGAAACAGGCUGCUUCCAGUUAGGCCACAUAGAGAAAAAGAGUACGACAAUUCACAUGUAAAUACGCUUCUGACGGAUCAUCACCCUAAAGCACCGUAUCGCUUUCAGCACAGGAGCAUGAGCAAAAAGUGGCAAAUCUCAGUUAUGCAGCUUCGUCGGGGCAGCCUCAUCAGCGAAAGCGGAGCGGUGAUUUGGGUAGCAUUACAUUCCUUCAGGCGCAGAUCGUGUGUGCCUACAGUGAAGUUUUACACACUGAUGGUAGCAGUUCCUCUAGUCCAGGGAGCAUACCCUCAGUGUGCUCCCCGUCUGUCGGGCGUUGGGAGAGGCGGAA